UACGAGUGGUGCAAGCGUUAUUCGGAAUUAUUGGGCGUAAAGGGUGCGUAGACGGCAUAUUAAGUCAACUGUUAAAUUCCCUGGCCUAACUGGGGACCAGCAGUAGAUACUGAUGUGCUUGAGGGUGGAAGAGAGAAGUGGAAUUCUCGGAGUAGCGGUAAAAUGCGUAGAUCUCGAGAGGAACACCGAUGGCGAAGGCAGCUUCUUGGUCCAUUUCUGACGUUGAGGCACGAAAGCGUGGGGAGCAAACAGG
rnacentral:rRNA from 1 species